AUCUCUAAAUAUUGGUGGGGCGAUGAUGAUCUUAAAAAACAUAUGCACUUGUUUGCAUGGUGGAAAAUGUGUGUCCCGAAGGAGAGGGGAGGUAUGGGAUUCAGAGACUUGCACUGCUUUAAUAUGGCACUUCUAGCUACACAAUGUUGGAGACUUUUGGGUGAACCAGAAUCACUUUGUGCUAGAGUUUUGAAAGCCAAGUACUUCCCUGAUGGCGACCUUCUUAACUGCAAUCUUGAGAAGGGUAGUUCUUACACAUGGCAGAGUCUAUGGAGUGGGAUUCAAACUUUUAAAAAAGGGCAUAUAUGGAGGGUAGGGGACGGCUCUCAAAUAAAUAUAUGGGAGGAUCCAUGGAUCCCA
rnacentral:rRNA from 1 species